AGCGAACGCUGGCGGCAGGCUUAACACAUGCAAGUCGAGCGGACCUUUCGGGGUCAGCGGCGGACGGGUGAGUAACGCGUGGGAACGUGCCUUCCGGUUCGGAAUAACCCUGGGAAACUAGGGCUAAUACCGGAUACGCCCUUAUGGGGAAAGGUUUACUGCCGGAAGAUCGGCCCGCGUCUGAUUAGCUAGUUGGUGGGGUAACGGCCUACCAAGGCGACGAUCAGUAGCUGGUCUGAGAGGGUGAUCAGCCACACUGGGACUGAGACACGGCCCAGACUCCUACGGGAGGCAGCAGUGGGGAAUAUUGGACAAUGGGCGCAAGCCUGAUCCAGCCAUGCCGCGUGAGUGAUGAAGGCCUUAGGGUUGUAAAGCUCUUUUAUCCGGGACGAUAAUGACGGUACCGGAGGAAUAAGCCUCGGCUAACUUCGUG
rnacentral:rRNA from 1 species